rnacentral:rRNA from 1 species
GGUUAAGUGACUAAGCGUACACGGUGGAUGCCUUGGCAGUCAGAGGCGAUGAAGGACGUAUUAACUUGCGAUAAGCCCAGAUUAGGCAGUAAAAGCCAUUUGAGUCUGGGAUUUCCGAAUGGGGAAACCCACCUGCAUAAGCAGGUAUCAUUAUCUGAAUACAUAGGGUAAUGAAGCGAACCGGGGGAACUGAAACAUCUAAGUACCCCGAGGAAAAGAAAUCAACCGAGAUUCCGAAAGUAGCGGCGAGCGAAAUUGGAUUAGCCCUUAAGCCUUUAAUGCGUCAGGUGAAAGUUCUGGAAAGGUCUGCGAUACAGGGUGAUAGCCCCGUAACCGGCAGCGCAUUUUAGGUGAAAUCGAGUAGGGCGGGACACGUGAUAUCCUGUCUGAAUAUGGGGGACCAUCCUCCAAGGCUAAAUACUACUGACUGACCGAUAGUGAACCAGUACCGUGAGGGAAAGGCGAAAAGAACCCCUGUGAGGGGAGUGAAAUAGAACCUGAAACCGUGUACGUACAAGCAGUAGGAGCACCCUCGUGGUGUGACUGCGUACCUUUUGUAUAAUGGGUCAGCGACUUAUAUUCAGUAGCAAGGUUAACCAUCUAGGGGAGCCGUAGAGAAAUCGAGUCUUAACUGGGCGUCGAGUUGCUGGAUAUAGACCCGAAACCAGGUGAUCUAGCCAUGGGCAGGUUGAAGGUUGAGUAACAUCAACUGGAGGACCGAACCGACUAAUGUUGAAAAAUUAGCGGAUGACUUGUGGCUAGGGGUGAAAGGCCAAUCAAACCUGGAGAUAGCUGGUUCUCCCCGAAAUCUAUUUAGGUAGAGCCUCGGACGAAUACUACUGGGGGUAGAGCACUGUUAAGGCUAGGGGGUCAUCCCGACUUACCAACCCUUUGCAAACUCCGAAUACCAGUAAGUACUAUCCGGGAGACACACGGCGGGUGCUAACGUCCGUCGUGGAGAGGGAAACAACCCAGACCGCCAGCUAAGGUCCCAAAUUACAGCUAAGUGGGAAACGAUGUGGGAAGGCUUAGACAGCUAGGAUGUUGGCUUAGAAGCAGCCAUCAUUUAAAGAAAGCGUAAUAGCUCACUAGUCGAGUCGGCCUGCGCGGAAGAUGUAACGGGGCUAAGCUGUAAACCGAAGCUGCGGCAAUGCAUUUUAUGUAUUGGGUAGGGGAGCGUUCUGUAAGCCGUUGAAGGUGAGUUGUAAAGCUUGCUGGAGGUAUCAGAAGUGCGAAUGCUGACAUGAGUAACGAUAAAGGGGGUGAAAAACCCCCUCGCCGGAAGACCAAGGGUUCCUGUCCAACGUUAAUCGGGGCAGGGUAAGUCGACCCCUAAGGCGAGGCCGAAAGGCGUAGUCGAUGGGAAACGGGUUAAUAUUCCCGUACUUCUUACAAUUGCGAUGGGGGGACGGAGAAGGCUAGGUGGGCCUGGCGACGGUUGUCCAGGUUCAAGUGCGUAGGCUUGAGAGUUAGGUAAAUCCGGCUCUCUCUAAGGCUGAGACACGAUGUCGAGCAUCUACGGAUGUGAAGUCAUUGAUGCCAUGCUUCCAGGAAAAGCCUCUAAGCUUCAGAUUGUAAGGAAUCGUACCCCAAACCGACACAGGUGGUCGGGUAGAGAAUACCAAGGCGCUUGAGAGAACUCGGGUGAAGGAACUAGGCAAAAUGGUACCGUAACUUCGGGAGAAGGUACGCUCUUGACGGUGAAGUCCCUCGCGGAUGGAGCUAUUGAGAGUCGCAGAUACCAGGUGGCUGCAACUGUUUAUUAAAAACACAGCACUGUGCAAAAUCGUAAGAUGACGUAUACGGUGUGACGCCUGCCCGGUGCCGGAAGGUUAAUUGAUGGGGUUAGACGUAAGUCGAAGCUCUUGAUCGAAGCCCCGGUAAACGGCGGCCGUAACUAUAACGGUCCUAAGGUAGCGAAAUUCCUUGUCGGGUAAGUUCCGACCUGCACGAAUGGCGUAAUGAUGGCCACGCUGUCUCCACCCGAGACUCAGUGAAAUUGAAAUCGCUGUGAAGAUGCAGUGUACCCGCGGCUAGACGGAAAGACCCCGUGAACCUUUACUACAGCUUGGCACUGAACAUUGACCCUACAUGUGUAGGAUAGGUGGGAGGCUUUGAACCCGGUACGCCAGUAUCGGUGGAGCCGUCCUUGAAAUACCACCCUUGUAGUGUUGAUGUUCUAACUUAGACCCGUUAUCCGGGUUGAGGACAGUGCCUGGUGGGUAGUUUGACUGGGGCGGUCUCCUCCCAAAGAGUAACGGAGGAGCACGAAGGUGGGCUAAUCACGGUUGGACAUCGUGAGGUUAGUGCAAUGGCAUAAGCCCGCUUGACUGCGAGAAUGACAAUUCGAGCAGGUGCGAAAGCAGGUCAUAGUGAUCCGGUGGUUCUGAAUGGAAGGGCCAUCGCUCAACGGAUAAAAGGUACUCCGGGGAUAACAGGCUGAUACCGCCCAAGAGUUCAUAUCGACGGCGGUGUUUGGCACCUCGAUGUCGGCUCAUCACAUCCUGGGGCUGAAGUCGGUCCCAAGGGUAUGGCUGUUCGCCAUUUAAAGUGGUACGCGAGCUGGGUUUAGAACGUCGUGAGACAGUUCGGUCCCUAUCUGCCGUGGGCGUUGGAAGAUUGAAGGGGGCUGCUCCUAGUACGAGAGGACCGGAGUGGACGAACCUCUGGUGUUCGGGUUGUCAUGCCAAUGGCAUUGCCCGGUAGCUAAGUUCGGAAUCGAUAACCGCUGAAAGCAUCUAAGCGGGAAGCGAGCCCUGAGAUGAGUCUUCCCUGACCCCUUGAGGGUCCUAAAGGGUUGUUCGAGACUAGAACGUUGAUAGGCAGGGUGUGUAAGCGUUGUGAGGCGUUGAGCUAACCUGUACUAAUUGCCCGUGAGGCUUAACCAU